GUGACAUCCCGCGGGAACGGUGACAUCCCCCAGGGACAGUGACAUCCCCCUGGGACGGUGACAUCCCCCUGGGACGGUGACACCCCCCCAGAGAUGGUGACACCCCCCCAGGGCUGGUGAUGUCCCCCAGGGAUGGUGACGUCCCCCCCGAGGACAGUGGCACCCUGGCAAUAAAGGCGCUUUGCUCCCCGAUGUCCCUGUCCCCAUGGGUGGCACCGUGACCCCCCCUGCGUCACUGCCCCGGGGUGCCCGGCGUUGCGCCACGGCCUCGGCGGGGACGGGGACGGGGAGUCCCCGGGGUGGGGGUGACGCAGGCGGCGGGGCUGCCCCCGGCGGGGCACGGCCCCUUCCCGCAUCCGGCGCUGGCGGACGCCUCCCGCACGGCACGGCCCCCGCCCGCGGCGCUGGGGACGGCACGGGAAUGGGGUGGCGGCACGGGAAUAGGGUGGUGGCAGCACGGGAACGGGGUGACGGCACGGGAACGGGGUGGUGGAGUGCAUGGGAUGCUGGGGAUGGGGACCCAGAGGGGGCCGGGGGGGGACAGGGUGUGUAGGACCGUGGGGAUGGGGCACAAAGGGCCGUGGGGCCGUGGGACGCGGGACAGUGGGGACAGGGCGCAUGGGAUCGUGAGGAUGGGGAAUAAAAAAACAUGGGGACAGAGCACACGGGACCAUGGGGACAGGGCGCAUGGGACCACGGGGCUCAGAAAACAAGGGGCCAGGGCACACGGGACCACAGGGCCAGGGCGCGUGGGACCAUGGGGACAGAGCAUGGGACAAGGGGAACGACGCAGAUGGGACACUGAGGACAGUGGGCAUGGUCCCCAGGGCACGGGGCACCACUGGGACAGAGCACACAGGACCACGGGGACAGCCCACAUGGGACCAUGGGGACAGGGCGCGGGGGCCACACCGUGGGGACGGUGCAGGUGGAGGAUACGGGGAGCGGAGGACACGGGGCCCUGCCGGCAUUUCGCCAUCGCGCCGCGUCUGGGCUCGUCCCUGGGGCGGGCCCUGUCCCCACGCCCUAUAAGUGCCACCACCGGUGGGUGACAACGCAGAGGACACCACUCCCCAGCAGGUUAUCGGAGGCCGACACCUUUGCAGGUAGCGCUCCCGGCGGGGACGGGGACGGGGACGGGGACGGGGACGGGGUGCUGGUCUGCUGGGAUCAGAUCCGGGCAGCGUUCCUGAGCCGUUCACUCUGGAGCCUACUGACAACCGGCGGCGGGCGGUGCGGGGCGGCGACGGGGGGAAUCUCCCCGCCGGUUCUCCCCAGCGCUGCCCCCUCUCUCGUGCAGGCUCUGCCAUGUCCCACGCGUCCACAGCAGCCCCCAGAGGCGGCGCCGGGAGCCCCCGGAGGUGCCAGGACCAUGCCCAGCGCCGUGAGCGCCCGCUGGGUGUCACCGUGGGGGGGACCUCGGGGGACAGCGGCCCCGUGACGUCCGUCAUUGACCCCGACAUGGAGGCCUUGUUCGACGAGUUCCUGGGGAAAGGUAGAGGCCAGGGGACACGCGCGCCCUGUCCCCAUGUCCCCAUAUCCCCGUGUCCCCAUGUCCCCGUGUCCCCAUGUCCCCUCCCCACAUGCCUGUGAUGCCAACAUGUCCCUGUGUCCCCUUGUUGUCCACGA
ensembl:lncRNA